AUUGAACGCUGGCGGAAUGCUUUACACAUGCAAGUCGAACGGCAGCACGGGAGCUUGCUCCUGGUGGCGAGUGGCGAACGGGUGAGUAAUGCGUCGGAACGUACCGAGUAAUGGGGGAUAACGCAGCGAAAGCUGUGCUAAUACCGCAUACGCCCUGAGGGGGAAAGUGGGGGAUCGCAAGACCUCACGUUAUUCGAGCGGCCGACGUCUGAUUAGCUAGUUGGUGGGGUAAUGGCCUACCAAGGCGACGAUCAGUAGCGGGUCUGAGAGGAUGAUCCGCCACACUGGAACUGAGACACGGUCCAGACUCCUACGGGAGGCAGCAGUGGGGAAUUUUGGACAAUGGGGGCAACCCUGAUCCAGCCAUUCCGCGUGAGUGAAGAAGGCCUUCGGGUUGUAAAGCUCUUUCAGCUGGAACGAAACGGUACGCUCUAACAUAGCGUGCUAAUGACGGUACCGGCAGAAGAAGCACCGGCUAACUACGUG
rnacentral:rRNA from 2 species